rnacentral:lncRNA from 1 species
UGGAACUUGACUUUGUGGAGUAUGGGACUUCAGACUGAUUUCCUGAAAAGACCAUGUGGCAAAGAUGCAUUGAAAUGGAUGUGACUGAACAACAAAGGAAGACACAUUGCUUCUGUUCCUUCAAUUAGAACAGUUCAAUGAGUUUUGUGGAGACUCUCAAAUAUCAGGUCAAUUUUUUUCUAUAAACAUUGUUGUUGAUUCUACAGUCCAUUCUGGUGAUCCUCAGAGCCAUAAAUCUCCGUGAGGUAGACAGAAAAUACAGAACCACCCCCAUGUGUCUUAUAUCUUUCUCAGCUUUACUUAGAACAAAAUG